UGGAGGAAAGCAGGGGAUCGUAAGACCUUGCGCUUUUGGAGCGGCCGAUGUCUGAUUAGCUAGUUGGUGGGGUAAUGGCCUACCAAAGCUUCGAUCAGUAGCUGGUCUGAGAGGACGGCCAGCCACACUGGGACUGAGACACGGCCCAGACUCCUACGGGAGGCAGCAGUGGGGAAUUUUGGACAAUGGGCGCAAGCCUGAUCCAGCCAUGCCGCGUGAGUGAAGAAGGCCUUCGGGUUGUAAAGCUCUUUCAGUCGGGAAGAAAAGGCUGCGAUUAAUAAUCGCAGUUCAUGACGGUACCGGAAGAAGAAGCACCGGCUAACUACGUGCCAGCAGCCGCGGUAAUACGUAGGGUGCGAGCGUUAAUCGGAAUUACUGGGCGUAAAGGGUGCGCAGGCGGUUUUGUAAGUCAGAUGUGA
rnacentral:rRNA from 1 species